rnacentral:rRNA from 1 species
UACGUAGGGUGCAAGCGUUGUCCGGAAUUAUUGGGCGUAAAGAGCUCGUAGGCGGUUUGUUGCGUCGGCUGUGAAAUCCCGAGGCUCAACCUCGGGUCUGCAGUCGAUACGAGCAAACUAGAGUGUUGCAGGGGAGACUGGAAUUCCUGGUGUAGCGGUGAAAUGCGCAGAUAUCAGGAGGAACACCGGUGGCGAAGGCGAAUCCCCUGGAAAAUACCUGACACUGAGGCACGGAAAGCUAGGGGAGCAAACAGG